CCGCCCCGGCACCCUUCACGAUCUACCCCUUCCGUCUCCACACCAGCUCUCCUUUCCCCACCGCAGCCAUGGAACAGCCGCCGCCAAUGCCUGCCCUGCGCCUAGCACCACCGCCGUCAAUGGGUGUCUCGCCGGACAUUACUUGGUUCCGGAACGGUUCUUGAUUAGCUAUGGUUUAAGCUUCGCCGUCGAAGAAUUCAAAGUACCUCUCAAUCCAGUUCCAUCAUUAGUGACGCACUGACGGUAUGAUUUUUAUUCCUGUUGGGAUGAGUCUCUUCUCCUGUUAGUUGUCUUUCAGAAUCAGUUAUGCACGACAGCUUUAGCAAUUCUAUGCGAUGAAUAGUGAGAAUUUUGGCUGGUUAA